GAAUUCGCGUCAUAGAAGGUACGGUGUCGCCACCUAUGAAAGUUUCGCGUGUGAGUGAAAAAUAUGUAAACAAACCGUUGCAUAUUUUCUCUGUAAUUAAUAUUCUGAUUUCUCGAAAACUUGUACCGUGUUUAUCUUACAAUUAGUGGAAAUUGUUGAAAAAUAGUUUUUCUUAGCUGUUUCGAUGUUCCGAACCAAAAUUUAUUGCCAUUUAGUAGUGAAAAAAAGCCGUUGAAGUACACCCUCUGUCAAUCUACCUGCGAGAGAGAACGUGUGAAAUAUGGACGUCAAAAGCUGCGCAAAUUGUCCGGAGAACAUGCAAGUCGGACGAAUUUUGCUUGGAGCUGACUCCGAACAAUCUGCAAAAUUCAAAAGCCGUUUCGUUUGUGUCGUCCCCGGAUGUAAGCAGAGAUAUCGCCCCGGAAUUUCUUUUCAUGCCUUCCCUCCGAAAACGGACAAAACGCGGUAUCUAGACUGGAUCCAACGACUACGGCUAAAGGUAGAACCUACAAAAACCUCCCGUAUUUGUAGCCUCAUUUCACCGUGUCGAACUUCUACUCUCCAACAACAAGCCGUGCCACUGAUCGCUUAAUUCUUAGGCCAUCAGCAGUUCCCGACUUGAAUUUGCCACAACCUCCCAUCAGCGAAGCCAGGAAAAGACUUAUUGAGGGCCGUGCUGAACGUGCUGCAAACCGUGCCAAAGUUGGGGCAGCGAUGGACCAGAGACAUGAUACACCAAACCUUUCAGAUCUUGCCAUCAGAGGCGAAUUAAUUACUUAUGAUUCAAAACACGUUAUUGCGCAUUUUGCACCAAGUUGGACUGUUUCGGCCUUUUCCAUAAGUGCGAAAAUACGAAUAAAAGUGCGCUCUAACAUCGAAUCAUGUUGGUGUCUUCAGCGCACUUAUUCUUCGAUUGAUAACGAAUAAGUGCGCUGAAGACAGCAAAUCGAUUUGAUGCAAGGUCGCACUUUUAUUCACAUUUUCGCACUUUUGAAAAAGUGUGAAACAGUCCAACUUGGUGCAAAAUGUGCAAUAAUAAAGAAAUAAAAUAAAACAUACUUAAGCAAAUGAUACAAAACAGCCAUGACGUGUUUGCACUUCCCUUUGCCAGCUUUACAGGAACACGAAAACAACCAUUUGGAGAAGGAGAUUUUCGUACGAAUUUUUAUUGUAUGGGGUUCCGAGCUUGGAGAUGAUGACUGGAGGCAGGACGAGAAAAUACUGAAGCCUUCAUCGUGAACUUCUUCAACACCAACUAUUAAAAGAUGUCCAGCUUUGAAUACUCUUUCGCCUUCGACGACUAAACGGCUUCCACCCGCAGCGUAAUCGAACACAUCCGCAAACUCCACAGCCACGUAG